AUGAUUCUCAUCAUAUUAGAAUUAUAAUGUCAAUGUUGGCACCUUUGAAUGUGGAGCGGGCAGUGUGUGUCGCUGUCAUUGGUUGGAAAGAGGUGUAGACACGGGUUGUAUUCCAGUUACUGUAUAAUUGUUAUUGGCAUAUAUGACAAGAAUUGUAAUUAUUAUUGAGAUACAUAUAUUGUUUUCUUACUUAUUAACAAGUUUGGUAUUGGUUAGUAAUGUGUAUUUGUUUGUCAAGAGGAAGUUUUCUUUUAGGGUCUGUGUAUGUAACACGGAUAUAUAUUAUACCGCACUCAGGGUGUAGGGGGAAGGUAGGCAGAGGUACAGUUGGUGCCUGUCAGGGGUGAGUGGCGGUUGUUUGACUGAGGUGAGUUUUGUGAUAACAUUAUUUCUCUGAUUUGUUUGACUUAUGUUAUGCCGCUGAUUGUGCAUAUUGGUUGGUGUUAUAUUGAAUGCGGUGCUGAUAGGAGGAUUUGAUUAAGUGUAACUUUGCAGCAUAGUUGGGGUAAUGCUGUAAUCAGACAUAUGGUGAAGUCUGCCUUGGCUGAUGAUGGGCGGUCAUUUUGCUGAAUCAAUCAAUAAAUCAAGAUACAGCAAGUCAG